rnacentral:rRNA from 1 species
GCUCUCAAGAAGUUAGCGGCGGACGGGUGAGUAACACGUGGGUAACCUGCCCAUAAGACUGGGAUAACUCCGGGAAACCGGGGCUAAUACCGGAUAACAUUUUGAACUGCAUGGUUCGAAAUUGAAAGGCGGCUUCGGCUGUCACUUAUGGAUGGACCCGCGUCGCAUUAGCUAGUUGGUGAGGUAACGGCUCACCAAGGCAACGAUGCGUAGCCGACCUGAGAGGGUGAUCGGCCACACUGGGACUGAGACACGGCCCAGACUCCUACGGGAGGCAGCAGUAGGGAAUCUUCCGCAAUGGACGAAAGUCUGACGGAGCAACGCCGCGUGAGUGAUGAAGGCUUUCGGGUCGUAAAACUCUGUUGUUAGGGAAGAACAAGUGCUAGUUGAAUAAGCUGGCACCUUGACGGUACCUAACCAGAAAGCCACGGCUAACUACGUGCCAGCAGCCGCGGUAAUACGUAGGUGGCAAGCGUUAUCCGGAAUUAUUGGGCGUAAAGCGCGCGCAGGUGGUUUCUUAAGUCUGAUGUGAAAGCCCACGGCUCAACCGUGGAGGGUCAUUGGAAACUGGGAGACUUGAGUGCAGAAGAGGAAAGUGGAAUUCCAUGUGUAGCGGUGAAAUGCGUAGAGAUAUGGAGGAACACCAGUGGCGAAGGCGACUUUCUGGUCUGUAACUGACACUGAGGCGCGAAAGCGUGGGGAGCAAACAGGAUUAGAUACCCUGAUAGUCCACGCCGUAAACGAUGAGUGCUAAGUGUUA